rnacentral:rRNA from 1 species
UACGUAGGGUGCGAGCGUUGUCCGGAAUUACUGGGCGUAAAGAGCUCGUAGGUGGUUUGUCGCGUUGUUCGUGGAAUCUCACGGCUUAACUGUGAGCGUGCGGGCGAUACGGGCAGACUUGAGUACUGCAGGGGAGACUGGAAUUCCUGGUGUAGCGGUGGAAUGCGCAGAUAUCAGGAGGAACACCGGUGGCGAAGGCGGGUCUCUGGACAGUUCCUGACGCUGAGGCACGAAGGUCAGGGGAGCAAACGGG